GAUGAACGCUAGCGGCAGGCUUAACACAUGCAAGUCGAGGGGUAUAGGGAGCUUGCUUCCUAGAGACCGGCGCACGGGUGCGUAACGCGUAUGCAAUCUACCUUUUGCAGAGGGAUAGCCCAGAGAAAUUUGGAUUAAUACCUCAUAGUAUGUGAGAAUGGCAUCAUUUUCACAUUAAAGUCACAACGGCAAAAGAUGAGCAUGCGUCCCAUUAGCUUGUUGGUAAGGUAACGGCUUACCAAGGCAACGAUGGGUAGGGGUCCUGAGAGGGAGAUCCCCCACACUGGUACUGAGACACGGACCAGACUCCUACGGGAGGCAGCAGUGAGGAAUAUUGGACAAUGGGCGCAAGCCUGAUCCAGCCAUGCCGCGUGCAGGAUGACGGUCCUAUGGAUUGUAAACUGCUUUACACAGGAAGAACAACGCUACGUGUAGCGUCUUGACGGUACUGUGAGAAUAAGGAUCGGCU
rnacentral:rRNA from 1 species